ACACACACACACAGUCAGACACAUACACAAACACACACACACACAGUCAGACACAAACACACACACAGUCAGACACAUACACAAACACACACACAGUCAGACACAUACACCGUCAGACACAAACACACACACACACACACAGUCAGACACACACACACACACAUACACAGUCAGACACAAACACACACACACAGUCAGACACAAACACAGUCACAUACACACACACAGUCAGACACAUACACAGACACAAACACAGUCAGACACAAACACACACACACAGUCAGACACAUACACAGACACAAACACACACUCACAAACACACACAGUCAGACACAAACACACAC